rnacentral:rRNA from 1 species
UACGUAGGGUGCAGGCGUUAAUCGGAAUUACUGGGCGUAAAGCGUGCGCAAGCGGUCUGCUAAGAGAGAUGUGAAAUCCCCGGGCUUAACCUGGGAACUGCGUUUCUAACUGGCAGGCUUGAGUGUGGCAGAGGGGGGUGGAAUUCCACGUGUAGCAGUGAAAUGCGUAGAGAUGUGGAGGAACACCGAUGGCGAAGGCAGCCCCCUGGGCUAACACUGACGCUCAUGCACGAAAGCGUGGGGAGCAAACAGG